AAAACAGUAGCGCAUUUGGUAAGUGGUCGAUCUGAGAACAAUGAGACGGGUGCGAGCGUGCACGAGACGACUCCAAGUUUACAUUUUCAGUCUUUAAACGAAAACAAUGACUCCCAGUCGGAAUAUUAUCGCUAUUUUCGAGAAAAUCGCAUAAAAAUGGAUUUUAAACAGCGUUUGACAUGCUUCGAAGUACGGUAAUGGAAUAUUUUGAAAUUCUUUGUCACGAUACGCGUCGGGCGCGUCACCCUUCGUUACCCUUCGGAUAGUGUCUUGAACGCACAACAAAACGCCGCUAUUUGGAUAUAACUAUGGAUUAUUUGGAACCAAAACAACAUUGGGUGAUGAAGUAGAAGUCCUGGGAGUGCAUUCUGACGAAGAACAGCAAAGACAACCGUUACAGAACUACCCACCACCAAAGGACCAAGCAGCAGAAGAGGAGGAAGCCACAGGAGAAGGAAAUGGAAGAAUGGACCUGGCAGGACGAGAGAAAAUUCUGGGCGGACAAGUUAAGGGAGCUGAGGGAACCCGAGAG
rnacentral:lncRNA from 1 species